CGAGUUUGAUCAUGGCUCAGAUUGAACGCUAGCGGGAUGCUUUACACAUGCAAGUCGAACGGCAGCGCGGACUUCGGUCUGGCGGCGAGUGGCGAACGGGUGAGUAAUGUAUCGGAACGUGCCCAGUAGCGGGGGAUAACUACGCGAAAGCGUGGCUAAUACCGCAUACGCCCUAAGGGGGAAAGCAGGGGAUCUUCGGACCUUGCACUAUUGGAGCGGCCGAUAUCGGAUUAGCUAGUUGGUGGGGUAAAGGCCUACCAAGGCGACGAUCCGUAGCUGGUUUGAGAGGACGACCAGCCACACUGGGACUGAGACACGGCCCAGACUCCUACGGGAGGCAGCAGUGGGGAAUUUUGGACAAUGGGGGGAACCCUGAUCCAGCCAUCCCGCGUGUGCGAUGAAGGCCUUCGGGUUGUAAAGCACUUUUGGCAGGAAAGAAAUCGGACGGGCUAAUAUCCUGUCUGGAUGACGGUACCUGCAGAAUAAGCACCGGCUAACUACGUG
rnacentral:rRNA from 1 species